AGACAUCCAUGGAACAAGAGACCCCAUAGAAUGAAUGAUAGAACAUCAAAACCCCAAAACCAAUCAAUUGGUGCAAUAGGUAAUAAGAUAUCGGAUGGCAGAGGGGAAGAAGCUGUUCCUGAGUCAUUGAGUGUGUGCCUUCACGCUUAUGUACAUCCUUCCUGAUGGUACCAAUGAGAAGAAAGCAUGGGUGAUGGCGGUCCUUACUGAUGGAUGCUGUCUUUUUGAGGUAUUGCUCCUUGAAGAUAUCCUUGAUAUGACGGAGGCUAGUGUCCAUAAUGGAGAUCACUGUUUACAACUCAACUCUCUGCAGCUUACUUUGAUCCUGUGCAGACAGCUGAGCCCAAAUUAUCAUCUAAUGGGCACACUUCCAGCAAUAAGGUAAAGUGUUGUCAAUUGGGAUGCUCCAUUGCAGAUACAGCUGGGACUAGCUAAGCACAAAACAGAAACUCAAUGAGGGACCUUCAAGUUGUAUACAAUGUUUAUCUACCAAAUGAAUCAUCAAAGGAAUGCAGACCGAUGUCAACAAUGAGUAUAAAUGUUUCAGGCAGCAUCUAUGGAAAGGAAUAAAGAAACAGGGUCUUGGCCCAAAACAUUGGCUCUCUAUGCCUCUCCAUAGAUGCUGCCUGAUCUGCUGAGUUCCUCUAGCAUUUUAUAUGUGUUACUCUGGUUUUCUAACUUGUGCAGAACCCCUUGUUUUGAAGAACUUCACAUUGUUUUGAAGAACUUUGCAAAAGAAUUACGAAAUUGUGCUUCUGAAUUAAUAUUUAAGGAUUUUUGAAACAAAUGCUAGAAAUCUGCAAAAAUAAAACAGGAAAUACUCAGCACAUUAGACAGGGAAGUGCUAUAGUUCUGAAUAGAGUACCAUAGGAUCAAGAAAUUAUGGAUACUUGAUACUUGAUACUUCACACAGAUCAGUAUAUUCCUUGCAGAUGAACAAUGUGUGAAAGUAUUAGAAUCUUUUCCUGUUUGUGAACAUAUCAGCCCUAUUUGGGAUGGCUCGGUAGUCUUUGAGUAUAUUUGCGGCAUUCGAGGUUUUGUCGUUGGAUUGUGACGUAUUUAUUUAGACAGGCACAGACAAAGCAUUUCUGAUAUGCAGCAUGUUUUGCUUCAGGAGACUCCAGAGAACUGCAACUAGACUUAACUGGAUUGGAAUUCUAUGUGCUAUGUGUGACUAUACUGUAUGUACUAUGUUUUGCACCUUGCUCCCAGAGGAAUGGUGUUUCGUUUGGCUGUAUACAUGUGUACGGUUGAAUGACAAUAAAACUUUAACUUGAACUUGAA